GCGGGUGUGGUGGAAUUGGUAGACACGCUAGACUUAGGAUCUAGUGCCGCAAGGUGUGAAGGUUCGAGCCCUUUCACCCGCA
rnacentral:tRNA from 1 species